UUUCAGAAUAACGCGUGUAGUUGCUCAAAUUCAAUAAAAAAAGGACAAAUUACAUGGAAGAGGAGAAGCAGCCCAUCAGCCACAACAUGCAAUCCUCAGCAGCAGAAGGCAUGAUGAUCAAGUCUGCAUUACGAGUUUGUGACCAAGCGCGGUUUUGGAGAGAUUUUCACGAACCAGCCGGACAGAUAUAGCACCACGCGCUGGCUGGGCUCUCGAAUCCAUCAUCAGCUCCAGGUUCCAGCGCUGGGAUUGAGGCGGAGGAAACGCAUGUUCUCCGAUCUAAUUCCUGGCGGACGCGCCGGAAUCUGUCUGCCGCGGUGGACUAGCUAGAUCUCUCCGUGUCCGCCGGAGUCCACCGACCAGCUGAGACUUCCGAUCGUGCAGGCAAAAUUACUGAACCAGGUGCUCGAUUCGAACCCACCUUCCAAAGCUGGUGUACAGGUCUGAAGCUGUUUGGGCUUUGGUAGGGUUGGUUCUAUUGUGUCGUAGCAUUCAAUUAGUGAGCUAAUUUGAAUCUGUAUUGGUCAUAUGAAAGCCAAUGUCGAAGUAUAACUAAUAUGAGUAAUGGCCAUUGCACUGCUGUUGCACCUGUGAAUCUGAACUUUUGCAUGUAUUCUAGUGGCCAUUUGCGUUGGCAGUUCAUUUGUUGUCUAAUCCAGAUUUUCGAGCAAUUAACUUGUUUAAAGUGUGAACAAGUCUGUUAUUCCACAGUAUCGACCAUCACUACCUGAAGAUAGGAUCUCUUGGUCGACGCUGCCCCAAACUGGUGAUGUUCCCAACUGCUUGUUUAUGAAUAUUCAGCAUAAGACAUGUUUCAUCUUCUUCUAUCUACUCACAUGAUUUCAUCCACACUCAAGCAAUAGAAGGACAACAACCCCAAAAAAGUAACUGAGCUAGGAUCUUUGUUUCUCCAGACAGUUACUUUUUUGGGGUUGUUGUCCUUCUAUUGCCAGGUGCAAUCAGAACUAAAACAAAGGAAAUGCCAAUGCUAGUCUACUAUCAGCAGCUUGAGUGUGGAGUUCAGGAUCCUAGCUCAACUGUGGCAAACCACAGCACAAGCAUUCUGCUGCUAGGAUGGAAAGAUGAACUCUCUUGAUCAUCAGAACAAAAAAAAAACUGCUCAGAGUUCAGGGAAUGGCUGAUAAGUGAAAAUUCAGAUGACUAAACUUCAGAAAAUUAGAAAAACACACUAUUUGUUUGUUAUUCAGUCAGAGAGACUUGAGCCAUGUGUUUCAAUGCUGCCCUCUACAGCUAGAUUGAGGGCACCAUGGACACAUUUGCUUGACAAUGAGGUAUAAUAUCCUUAGGGGAAUCUGCAGGCUGCCCGCGGCCCUUAUCACGUGCUUUGUGCAAUAGCAUCUUUAUUCAUUUUCUUUUGAACUGAUAUUCAUGCAUGCCAGUAUAAGUUAAUCUGCAAUAUGCAUCAGUCACACGUAGUUAGUUACUCCAUCAACAGUUGCCAGUUACCUGUGAAACAGCGAUGUCAUCCUUUCUUAUUUGCAAUUUUAAUAAUGCAUGAAUGGCUCAUUAGCUCCAGAUUGCAAGGUUCUUCAUGCUAUCUUUGACACUUAACCAUAUUCGACACUAGUGCACUGACAUCGUAAGUUUACUUUAUAUGUCUCAGUCCAAGCAGAUCUCUUAUGUGAUACUGAUUAGUUUCAGAGUUUGUACCUUCCUGAACCUGUUUACAGAGUCUGUUCAAUGCUGAACUUGUCUGGGAAAUGGCUUUGAAGUUGUAUACUUGCGAGUUAAAAUCAAUCACAUCUCUUAUGUGAGUCUUGAAACUUUUUUACCUUGCCAAUCGAUAAAUUGCAGAAUCGAAAUCACUACUGUCAUUAUAUCUGGUUCCUGGGUUAGUGUGCUAACCUGACCUACUUCUAUUAUAGAUGUGUGCUCCAUGAUCCGAUACAUAUGUGCUUGUAAUUUGUAAAUUGUCAAGUCUGCGGCAGUGAUAUAUGAUAAUGUCACUGGGAGGUGUGGGGAAACAGUUUUGGUUCCCACUCCGUAGGUCAGGUCAGCACUGCCC
rnacentral:lncRNA from 7 species